rnacentral:rRNA from 1 species
UAAUAGUGUAUAUUAAAGUUGUUGCAGUUAAAAAGCUCGUAGUUGAAUGUUGGUGCCGAACGAGCGGUCAGCUUCGGCUGUACUGCUCUCUCGACUCCUUCCUUCUGUGGACUACGUCGCACUUUACUGUGUGGCGCUAGGACGCAGAUCGUUUACUGUGAAAAAAUUAGAGUGUUCAAAGCAGGCCGUACGCUUGAAUACAUUAGCAUGGAAUAAUGGAAUAGGACGUCGGGCCUAUUUUGUUGGUUCUAGGACCGUCGUAAUGAUUAAUAGGGACAGUUGGGGCCGUUUAUAUUCCGUAGUCAGAGGUGAAAUUCUUGGAUUUACGGAAGAUAAACUACUGCGAAAGCAUUCGGCAAGGAUGUUUNCGUUA